AGAUUCGUCGAAGCCUCUGUUGACUUAGUGGCGGACGGGUGAGUAAUGCGUGAGCAACCUGCCUUUCAGAGGGGGACAACAGUUGGAAACGACUGCUAAUACCGCAUAACAUAUUUUGGGGGCAUCCCCGGGAUAUCAAAGGAGCAAUCCGCUGAAAGAUGGGCUCGCGUCCGAUUAGAUAGUUGGUGAGGUAACGGCUCACCAAGUCGACGAUCGGUAGCCGGCCUGAGAGGGUGAACGGCCACAUUGGGACUGAGACACGGCCCAAACUCC
rnacentral:rRNA from 1 species